rnacentral:rRNA from 1 species
UACGUAGGGGGCUAGCGUUGUCCGGAAUCAUUGGGCGUAAAGAGCGCGUAGGCGGCCAGAUAAGUCCGGUGUGAAAGUCAAAGGCUCAACCUUUGAAUGCCGCUGGAAACUGUCUGGCUAGAGUCCGGGAGGGGCGAGUGGAAUUCCUGGUGUAGCGGUGAAAUGCGCAGAUAUCAGGAGGAACACCGGUGGCGAAGGCGGGUCUCUGGGCAACAACUGACGCUGAGGAGCGAAAGCGUGGGGAGCGAACAGG